rnacentral:rRNA from 1 species
GAUGAACGCUGGCGGCGUGCCUAAUACAUGCAAGUCGAGCGAACAGACGAGGAGCUUGCUCCUCUGAGGUUAGCGGCGGCCGGGUGAGUAGAACGUGGAGAACCUCCCUAUAAGUCUGGGAUAACUUCGGGAAACCGGAGCUACUACCGGAUAAUAUAUUGAACCGCAUGGUUCAAUAGUGAAAGAAGGUUUUGGUUUCACUUAUAGAUGGAUCCGCGCCGCAUUAGCUUGUUGGUAAGGUAACGGCUUACCAAGGCAACGAUGGGUAGCCGGCCUGAGAGGGUGGUCGGCCACACUGGAAGUGAGAAACGGACCAGACUCCUACGGGAGGCAGCAGUAGGGAGGCUUCCGCAAUGGGCGAAGGCCUGACGAUGCAACGCCGCGGGAGUAAUGAAGGUCUUCGGAUCGUAAAACUCUGUUAUUAGGAAAGAACAAAUGUGGAAGUAUCUGUGCGCGGCUUGACGGUACCUAAUCAGAAAGCCACGGCUAACUACGUG